rnacentral:lncRNA from 1 species
AAAAGGCCUUCUAAUGAGGUGCUAUUUGGGAAAAGAAUUUGCGUAUAAUGAGAGACUGAGCCAUGUGGAUAUCUGGGGCAGGUAUUCUGGGGCAGAAAAAAAGUGAAGCGAUAAUGGAACUAGGAAAGAUUAAAUAAUAUUCCUAAAAUCACUCUAACUUUAGUUGGGACUUAUUCUAGAACCUUGAGUAGCCCAGGAUGCUGUUCAGUGUCUUAGCAUGCAUAGCAUGGCCCCCACAAGAAGGAAUUAUCUGGCCCCUGAUGUCAGUAGUGUCCAGGUUGAGAAACCCUGUGCUACAGGCUCUCCUGAGUUCCUUGCUUUUGUGCAGUCUGUCGCCAUGAUGCUGUGAGAGCUCCACCUUUCUAGCCAGUUACAAAAUCAUUUCCUAAAUGGAGCAAAUAUUCUCUGGCAAGAAUGCAGCAGGCUGUGUCAUGCGGGUUGGCUGAGGUGUUGCAGUGAGUGGCAUGGCAUUCACUCCUCUCUGGAGACCAGAGAGGAGAAAUGGAAAGCUUGGCAAGUUGACCAUUCCAGGAGUUUUUGCAUGAACUCAUAAAAGCAUAUAUCACAACUCUGGUCAUGGGGAAAAGCCCCUCCUCUCAUAUUGUGUGAAGGCAAUUAAUGAUAGGCAGCAGUAAAGAGGUGAUGAGAUUGCUUUUAUUGUUAUUGUUUUAUUUUUGAGGUCCCUGGUGACUACUCCUUGUGUCAAUCCUUUGAUCUAAGAAGCUGUUAUGAAAUAAUAUGUCUUCGUAUUGCUAGCCGUGAAGGACCCUUCAGAGGAGCUGAUCAAGAUGCUGCAGCACCAUGAGAAAAUUUACAGUUACCUGGUGUGAACCUUGACAAGUCACUUCAAAGCUGGGCAGGGCAUAGCACGCUUUCAUAAGUGAUCACUUUUACAAAAGGGAGUGGAAAGGAAAAUAGAGCUAUGCGUGGUGACUGUCAGGUCAUCAUGAUCUAGCUUUUUGUCAAGUGUCAGCACCUUAAUGUUUGAUAUGAGUAAUGUUAAUGUUGUAAUAAUGGUCACAGAGUGGAUUCCUCACUUCCAUGUAUGGCCUAAAAGAUUAUACUCUGUUCGGGAUGUAAAUGGGUGUUUGUGUAUCUUUACAGGUCAAGGUGUCCUUAUCUUUCUACGGAGCAGGUGGUUGUUAUCUACUUGCUCUGUCCUCUUGUUCAUGUUUAGAUAAAGACAGAUUCGUGUGGUCACUGCCCCCAGGGAGCUCAAAGUCUCUUUUCCUCUUUCUCUUUUGAAAAUGAAAUCUCAUUAUCUGUGAUAGGCAGUGACUUAGAAGGUUAAAUAUACCAAGAUCGAAUAUAUUUAUCCUGAUACUCCUGUAGUAGGCCUACGGAGAUUUUGAAAAGGUGUGAGAGAUCAUUCAUAUGCCAGGUUGACCCAGAAAUAUUCUUUCUUUGAAUUAGAAUGAUAACAUCUUACCCAAGUAUUCACAUAUUCAUUUAAAUUGUGUUCAAAUCUGUGUUAUUCCAGCUCCCUUGGUCCCUACAAUUUGGAAUUCAAAUCCAGAUGGCUAUUUAUGUUGAAGGUCAUGUGAGAAGCACUUUUCUCCCCAAAGAAAUGUUGGCAUUAUCGUAGUGUCUUUUUCGUAUCCUGUCUUCUUUCUCACAUCCAAGACUAGUUCCAAAGAAUUUUGUUUGUCGUUACUGUUGAUAAGAGACUUUGGUUUUGGAAUAUGUUUUCUCUUUUAAGUUUUUUUUCUCUUAAAUUUUUGAGUCUAACAUUCCUGAUUGAUAACUGUAUCUUCCAGGUUUCCAUACAUAUGUGAAAGGGGUAGAUUUGGGAUUUCAAAUCUCUCUGGUGGAAAUACCAAUUGAAUUAUAAAAAGGAGAUAUGUUCCUAUCACAAAUGUAUUAUUUAACACCGUUAUUAUAUUAAAAUAUUUUUUCCAAUUAAAAUGUUUGUUAUAAAACAGCUAUUCAUUAUUGAAGUAUUACUUCAAAUAGAAUAGCCACACUCCAUUUGUUAAGUAUUUUUUUGUAGUAAGAAAGGGACACCAUGCUCUUUUACUCUGUUUUCUUUUGGUUUGUUCAAAUAUAUCAUGAUUUCACUGUUGUAAAUAAUUUUUCCUAACUUUCCUUACUCAGACAACCUCAAAAUGCAUAGAUUCUCAUUUCAGUAAUUUUUCUAAAGGUUGUUCUGAGUGCUGCCCUUUGUAGAAUAUGUCUUACUGGAUCUUAAGAGCAUUUAAAGUUUUUUUUUUUUCAGGAAUUUGCAUCAUGGCUCAGUGGUUAAUGAACCUGAUUAGCAUCCAUGAGGAUGUAGAUUCCAUCCCUGGCCUUGCUCAGUGGGUUAAGCAUUGUUGUGAGCUGUGGUGGAAGUGGCAGAUGUGGCUCAGAUCCAUUGUUGCUGAGGUUGUGAUGUAGGCCAGCAGCUACAGCUCUGAUUCGACCCCUAGCCUGGGAACCUCCAUAUGCUGUGGGUGCUGCCCUAAAAAGACAAAAAAAAAAAAAAAAGUUUUUUGUUUUUUUUUUCAUAUGAAUUGCUUGGCACUUAGAUGUUUUAAGUGAUUUUAAUAAAUUAGGUACGGCUGUAAUAUAAAAGGUAGAAAAUAUACACUUUUAGGCUUCAAAAGACUUCCACUUCAGUGGGUUGUAGAAUGCUUAAAAUAUAAGUUCGGAUGAAUAUUUGACAAUUUGAUUUUGAACUCUCCUUACAGAACAGAAUAGAUUUAUGCAGUGGGAGGACAGAAAAUAUAAUAAUUAGAAAUAUAUUAAUUGAUUUCAGGUUUUUAUCUGUAAAAUCAUAGUCAUAAAUACGGUUAUUAGAAUCCAUGUUUAUGGUCUUGAAUUUGAUUGAGAGAGAGGGUUAUUCAUCAGAAAAGCCACCAGUCUCUCCAUUUAUCACAACGAAUUGUGAAUUUAUAUCUCUGUAACUCACAGGUGUGAUGUAUGUCCCUUUUUGAAGGGACAUUUACUACAAGAAUUAAUUUUAGACUUUUAGAUUACAGGAAUUAAUUUUAGACUUUUAUGGCUUUUUUACCUAUUAGUUACCUAAAGAUUUAAAUAAUUUUACUGACUUCCUGGCAUUAGCCUCUGGGACUAGAGUUUCUGUGAACAAAAAAAGAACAUCAGAUAUGGAAUUGUUUGAGUAUCUCUGUGUUUACCUCUGAAUGGAGUCUCAUUGUAAGAAGUCCUUGUCAGGGGACUGAGUAAAAGUGACUGGUCAGAGCGUUUUCUUAAUGCGUGCCUGGAAUACUAGUUCAGUAGUCGGGUAACAGUAGCAGGAAAGUCUUGGGACCAAGGAAGAUCAGGAAUUGCUAAGGUAAACAUAGUAUAGCAGAUGUUUUUACUUCCGGACUUAUCAGAGCCUUUAAUUUUCCACUCUUAACAAAGAAUUAGAUGCUUCAUCUUCACCGUGCACUUAUACAUUCCCUUAGGGAGAAAGGGAAGAUAAAAGAGGCAAAAAGGGGAAUGGAGUUGGGGAGAGUGUGGGUAGGAGAUUGAUUCUCAUGAGCUGGAUCAGUAUCUGUCAUCAUUAUUUCCUAAAUGCUUUAAGAGGGCUAUGCUGGUGUUCUGAGUAUAGUUAGAGGGAAAUUUCAAUUGGAAAUGAUGAAUUUCACAUGACCCACACAUUUGGUAUGAAGUAAAGUGCAGAGGUAUGCUUGAUUAAAAGGGAAAUCCAUACCAAUGGACAUCAGAACUAUUUUCUUCUGUCUUCCUUACUUCGUGGGAAUGAAGCAUUUGUGUACGAAAGAAUUCCUUGGGGGAUGAAAUGCCAUUUAGUUUAAUGUGAUGAAAAUGAUGUAUUCAAGUCACCACAAAUGAAAAUAUUUACUAGAAUGGACUACAUUUAACUUUCUGGGCAGGUGUUUUAUAUGAUACCUACCUUAAGAGGGUGAUGACAUUUGGGAGUAUGGGAUGGUUUUAAUGCAUAUUGAAUUUGGGAGUAAUAGAAUUGUCACCAACAAGUGGCUAGAUGACAAGACCCCUCCCCCCAAAAACUGAAUUUGUGGUAUCAAAGAAAUAAAGAUUUCAGUCAAGCCAGACACAAGGUGAUGGGUCUUUAACAGUGAGGGUACCAGGAAAGAUUAAGUUUUGAAAUUCAGUUUUAAGAGUUAAGAGGGAAAGCACUGGGAUUGGAGAGCAUGGAGAGAGAAAGAAAAACGGUACUUGCUGCCUGUGAAGAGUAGUGCAUCCCACCAUCAGGACAGUGAAACAGAUUUCCCUACAUUACCAUGUGUCCCUGGGAGAAGGCAGGGCAGAAUCGCUCGCUCUUGAUUGAGAAUCACUACUACAGAGCGUGUCAAACAUAAUAAUAAUCACAGGUCGUCACAGUACAGAAUACUGUGGAAUUCUUAGACGGCAAGCUUGGCCAUCAUGUGUAACCUGACAAGCUUAUUUAAAAAAGAGUUCCUUAUUCCAAGUGGGCAAUUGUAAGCAAAUAUGGGGGCAUGGAUUUUAUUUCCCUUUGAUUUGUGCUGUGUGAGGCCCGGAAAGCAUGGAUGAAGUUUGCUGUAGCUCUGAUUGAAGAUAAAAAACAAUAAUUAGUUGCCUAAUUAAUGGCAUACAGGUUCCCCCCGAUCUGUGCUGUUUACUGUUUAGGGAUGAAUGAUGAGGUUGUGUUUUUAGACAUUGUCUGCCAUAGCCGGUUUAUAGCCAUAGUGUUUCAUCUCACAUUUGCUUAUGUGAAGAUUUAAAGGUGUUGCCUGGAUUAAAUCAAAACAGUAGACAAGGUCAUAAUGUUAAUUAUCUGAAUACGUUAGCCUGAAAAAUAUACAUACGAACAUAUAUUUUUUAAAUGUCUGAUUGUGGGACUAAUUCUUUGAAUGAUUUUCUUAAUUUUGCAUACACUUUUUCCCAGUGUACUUAAUCUUGUUCCAUUCAGAUCAACUCUAAUUUCUAUGGAAAUGGCUUCAUAAAGAAUUUAAAACGAGCGGUGAUUUGAGAUCUUCUUUUAAAAAAUGGAAAUUGCAUUUAUCCAGGUUUGAAUUUUAUCUAGAAUUAUAGCUUAAUAACUCUUAAUAUUAUUUUCAAAUUCAUAUUUUAAUGCAAUUAAAAGUUGGAUUUUUCAUUUCUGGAGUAGAAAGAAAGCUUUUUAAACUUUUCUUUUGCCUGCCAAGGAAUCUUUUUCCCUUGGCAUUAAUAGCAGUGCCCUCUGUCACACCUCCUUUUACCUUUUACCCUUGGGUGGGCUUUUAAAAUCUGUUUAGUAGAAUUUUCUUCCUUCCCCAUUUACCUUUCCCUAGACCUAGAGGUUAUCCCUUUGUCUGCCUCUCAUUUCUCCCUGAGACAGUUGCAUCUCACCAUUUGCCAUGCAUGGCCUGCUUUAUUUCUUCUUCUCCUAUGUUUGAUAUUUGAGGAGGUUGGCGUGAGGUGGGGGGAGUUGAGUUCAAUGAAAAGAAAGAAGACUCUUACCUCUUUUACACUGUACAAUACCUUUUUAAGAGGUAGAACAAAUUAAAAAUAAGAUGCAUUAUGGUAAGACUUUGACACUUGACCGCAAUGAAGCUUUUAGUUCCCAUAAUGUUGAGUGGAGGCUGGAAAAUUUGCCAAACCUCUUAUUCUGUGUUCAGCUCAAGUUUGCUCUGGCACCUACAAGGGGACAAAAAAAGGGGCUACAGGAACCGGAGGAUUUUAUUUUCUUGUCUUUGAAAAAAAACUUUCUAUAUAUGUUGAAUGGCAUAUUAAUUUCAUAUUCUGUUAGUUCUGUGAGGUUUGUUUAAACCAUACAAGCUGAUCUUUCCAUGUGACUUCCAUCUAUGUGUCAAUGCACAUUUAAAGAUCCUUGAGAUGUUAAGGGUUAGUACUUGAAUCCUUUGGUUUCCCUCAUAACAUAUUUUGUUUUUCAGUUUAGUUACCAGUGGAGAUGAGAUACCAGUCCACUACCAGAAAUGAUUAUUGUGCCUACACAACUUGUAUUUCCUACCUUGCUUUAAUGUGUUCCUUUCUAUUGCAGUGAACUGUCCUUGGAAGAAUGUUAAAAUGGGAUCGGGAGUUCCCGUGGUGGUGCAGUGGUUAACGAAUCUGACUGGGAACCAUGAGGUUGUAGGUUCGAUCCCUGCCCUUGCUCAGUGGGUUAACAAUCCGGCGUUGCCGUGAGCUGUGGUGUGGGUCACAGACGCGGCUCGGAUCCUGCGCUGCUCUGGCUCUGGCGUAGGCCAGCGGCUAUAGCUGCGAUUCGACCCCUAGCCUGGGAACCUCCAUAUGCCGCAGGAGUGGCCCAAGAAAUGGCAAAAAG